rnacentral:rRNA from 1 species
GUGCCAGCAGCCGCGGUAAUACGGAGGGUGCAAACGUUGCUCGGAAUCAUUGGGCGUAAAGCGCACGUAGGCGGCCUAGCAAGUCGGUUGUGAAAUCCCUCGGCUUAACCGAGGAAGUGCAGUCGAAACUACAAGGCUUGAAUACUCAAGAGGGUCUCGGAAUUCCCGGUGUAGAGGUGAAAUUCGUAGAUAUCGGGAGGAACACCAGUGGCGAAGGCGGAGACCUGGGGAGCUAUUGACGCUGAGAUGCGAAAGCGUGGGGAGCAAACAGGAUUAGAUACCCCUGUAGUCC